GAUGAACGCUGGCGGCGUGCCUAAUACAUGCAAGUCGAGCGAACAGACGAGGAGCUUGCCCCUCUGACGUUAGCGGCGGACGGGUGAGUAACACGUGGAUACCCUACCUAUAAGACUGGGAUAACUUCGGGAAACCGGAGCUAAUACCGGUUUAUAUAUUGAACCGCAUGGUUUAAUAGUGAAAGUCGGUUUUGCUGUUACUUAUAGAUGUAUCCGCGCCGCAUUUGCUAGUUGGUCAGGUAACGGCUUACCAACGCAGCGAUGCGUAGCCGACCUUAGAGGGUGAUCGGGCACACUGCAACUAAGACACGUUCCAGACACCUACGGGAGGCGGCAGUACGGAAUCUGCCGCAAUGUGCGAAUGCUUGACGGAGCAACGCCACGUGUGGGAUAGGAGUCUUCGGAGCGUAAUACUCUGUUAGUAGGGAAGAAGAAAUUUGUAAGUAACUAUGCACGUCUUGACGGUACCUAAUCAGAAAGCCACGGCUAACUACGGG
rnacentral:rRNA from 1 species